rnacentral:rRNA from 1 species
GCACGGGUGCGUAACGCGUAUCCAACCUUCCCGUUACUCUCGGAUAGCCUUCCGAAAGGGAGAUUAUACGAGAUGGUGUUUGAAUUCCGCAUGUUAUUCAAACUAAAGAUUCAUCGGUAACGGAUGGGGAUGCGUGACAUUAGGUAGAUGGCGGGGUAACGGCCCACCAUGCCUACGAUGUCUAGGGGUUCUGAGAGGAAGGUCCCCCACACUGGAACUGAGACACGGUCCAGACUCCUACGGGAGGCAGCAGUGAGGAAUAUUGGUCAAUGGUCGGAAGACUGAACCAGCCAAGUAGCGUGAAGGAUGAAGGUUCUAUGGAUUGUAAACUUCUUUUAUACGGGAAUAAAACCACCUACGUGUAGGUGCUUGUAUGUACCGUAUGAAUAAGCAUCGGCUAACUCCGUG